CUACGGGUUGCACCAGUGGGGGAUAUUGCACAAUGGGCGAAAGCCUGAUGCAGCAACGCCGCGUGAAGGAAGACGGUUUUCGGAUUGUAAACUUCUAUCAGCAGGGAAGAAAAUGACUGUACCUGACUAAGAAGCCCCGGCUAACUACGUGCCAGCAGCCGCGGUAAUACGUAGGGGGCAAGCGUUAUCCGGAAUUACUGGGUGUAAAGGGUACGUAGGCGGCUGAUCAAGUCAGAUGUGAAAGCCCGGGGCUCAACCCCGGGACUGCAUUUGAAACUGGUUGGCUAGAGUGCAGGAGAGGAAAGUGGAAUUCCUAGUGUAGCGGUGAAAUGCGUAGAUAUUAGGAAGAACACCAGUGGCGAAGGCGGCUUUCUGGACUGUAACUGACGCUGAGGUACGAAAGCGUGGGGAGCGAACGGGAUUAGAUACCCGAGUAGUC
rnacentral:rRNA from 1 species